rnacentral:misc_RNA from 1 species
ACGAGUUAGGGUCUUCUCGGCCCGAUCUCCCAACCCUUUGUUUAUCUGACCAUUGUUGCUUCGGCGAGCCCGUCCUCUGGGACCGCCGGGAGACUGUCACAGGCCUCCUGGUCCGCGCUCGCCGGCAGCCCACACCUAAAACUCCUUAACUAAACGUGUUUUACCUGAGUACAAAAUUUAAUUAAAAAGCA